UUCCUAAUCUCCAUUUUUGUAGUAAAUAUCAGUUAGCACAGAACACUGUGGAGACUUCUACCCAUGGGCUUUGUGAAUCUUUUUCCAAUUACAUGAGAUGCAGUUUCAGGUAGGCUGCAUGAAAUUCACUAAUGAAAACUUCAAAUUAGUUACCCUUAAAUAAAUCAAAUAAUCUGUUAGCAGUUUUUCUUCCUUUGUGCUCUAUCGCUCCUCUAAUUCAUUAGAAUCAUCUUUUUUGGUGCCAAAGUUCUUUCACAUCCCUGAAAACACCCACCAAGACCUACCAGGAUGGUUGCACGUGCUGCUGAGUUUAUUACUGUUCCCAAUUUGGUGUUUGUGUGUCUUCUAGUGCACCAUAAUUGACAGAUUUGUAGAGUUGCCGUUGUUUGAUCGUUCUGUCUCUUACUUAUUUAGAGAAAAGGCACACUUACUUGUGAAGGCCACACAUGUGAGAAGUUCCAUCUUGUGUGGUACCAGAUGACAACUUCCUUGGGGAGGGGACUGCUUAACAGAAUGAGGGAUUUCUUUGGCAGAGGAAAUCUGACAAGAAAAAUAAUCUGUUUUCCAGUGACUCAACUUCCACUCAAAGACAAAACUGCCUUUCUGAAAUCCAGGUCAGCAAAUAGUGAGUUAUGCUCCUGAUGCCAAGGUAGCUGACAGCUGGGAACGGGAGGAGAUAAAGACUGUUACUGUGCCAUGGAACAAAUGGUUCUCUAAAAUUUACAGGACAACUUAUUCUGUCAGUUAAACUUCAUUUUACCUCACUAGGAAAGAAAACAAAUAAGCAUGACAAAAAAGUCUCAAUCCCCUCUAUACAGACUAUGUAGAUUCCCUAAUUCAGCAUUUAGAUUAUGUAGAUUCCCUAAUUCACCAUUUAGUUACUAAGGCUUCUGAUCUGCAAGUUCUCAAAUUCACAAUUUGCAAUUCAUUACUUGCCUGUGAGCAAAUAAUUAUCUUGCUGAUGGAAUAGCACUCCACCUUCCACUGUCACAAUGCAAGCAUCCCACCUGUCACAUGAGAAAGCAUGACAGCUGUCCAGCUACCCUUAGAUCUGCUUCAGAAGCUUUUUUGCUAGAGGUGUUUGUGAAAGUGGUUAUGAAGUACCUGAGGCGGUGUUUCUGUCCAGUGGGGGAUGCCCAGAGAGCCUGCCGAAAAACUCAGACAGACGCACCUGGACAUGCUGAAAUCCUUCCUGAGAGGUUCUGAUUCCCAUGAAGAAAGUAAUUGAAUCUGCACUAAGCAUACAAAUCUAUAGCUAUCUAUUACAUCCAGGCUUUUCAAGCAGAAUUGAAAAGAAGUGAAAGCUUCCAAACACUAGCCUAAGAAGUACUCAGAACUGAUAAAAGAAGUUAAUGGGUUGAAGGACAAGUGAACAUCCUCUGAAGUACUACAAGAUACUAACCACCACCCAUCAGAGGGCUGGGCCUAUCAGUCAGUGGCUUCUGCUGAGAAUUCAAUUGUGGUGCUUGCCAUCUGUUUCUCCACUUGCUUUUUGCUCCCUGUCAUCACGACUGACUUCUCAAGCUCAGCUAGCACAGUACCCCUUUACCAACUACUGUGAGAACUCAUCCUGAAUUUCUUAUUUUUUCACAGUCAAAAAAGUCCCCACCAAUCCAGCACUUCAUCUUUGCUACAGGUACUGACAUCUCCACUACCUACUUUAUCAUGCAGAAUCUUAGCUUCCCAGAUAAAUUAUUUCCCUUUUUCCUACCCAGUUCACCAGCCUUUAUUGCAACAACAGACCUGUUUCUUUCUUUCCACAUUUAGAUUAUAAACUUUUUUAUUCUCUCAUCAAAAUAUCACUAGAUUUUUUGCUACCCAAUUUUUUUCCUUUCUCAGUGACUGACACCCUGGUCUGAGUUUGGCUAUCAGACUGUGUGAGAUGAAAAAAAAACAAGUCUUGAUUGAAGGAGCUUGAGACUUAGAGUUCAGAAAAGGAUGCAAGUUAGUAAAAGUUAUGUGGAAGGAGAGGAAGCAAAGAAGGGAUCAAACUGUGAUUUUACCUCAGAAUCACUCUCCAAAGUGAAAAAAAUAAGAAAACCUAGACACAGACUGAGAUUGGUACUGAAUAAACAUAACAAUUAUUAUAUAUAUAUCUAUAUAUAUCUAUAUAUAUAUCUUUCUGCCACACAAGUAUACCAACAGGCAAAUUGUUUUAAAGCUACAAGGUUAUGCUUCGGAGAGUGUAACAAAAAUAAAAAUGGGGAGAACACCCAAUGUGCCAGUUUGUGGGGAAACUCAGCUUGUCCCACUGAUGUCUUAAGCUGUCAACAGGUACACUACAAACACACACAAAUCAUAUGGACACCACAUUUUAUAUAUUGCCUUUUGCUGUCAAAGGGAAAAGUGAAAUCACAAUGAGGCUCCCCAUCAUGAAUGAGGGGCAUUGAAGUAGCCUGCACAUUCCCUGGCAGUUCCACAUGACAUCAUAGGAUAGUUCAAGAUGGAUUUCAUGUUGACGUAAACCACUGUUUAAUUUCAGGAGUACAGGUAUCAAACAGCUCUUAGACUUGCUUCAUGGACAUUAAAAGAAAUGUUUACUUUUUCAGGCAAUUACUUAACUUUCCCAAUUAUCCAGAAAAAUGACCUCAUUGUAGCAUGGAAAUGUGCAUGGGAGGCUCUGUAAGUUACACAAACAUGGCUUUUAAAAAUAGAUAUGCAUCAGGAUUGAAACGGUCGAGUCCUGAACAUAGGUAUGUACACAGCAAAAGGAAAGUGAUCAUCUCCAUGGUUGAUACCACCCAAGCCUCACAAAACAUUUACAGGAACAAGUGUAUCUUCUUGAAGGAUUUAUAACUGCAUCUACCUUACUUGCAGGUAAUCAGGCGGAUGGAAUAACACAGGUAAAGAUUUUACACUGUGUCAAAUACAAACCUAUCCUUCCAAUUUCCUGCUGCAAUCAGACAGCUCUAUCUACACUGUGCUGGCCCUUUGCUCUGCAUUACCUUACCACCAUAAAGGUUUUGCUGAGAGCUGUGGGAUGCAACUUCAUCAGAUAAAAAAAAAAUCUAGGCUUAGCCUCUAAACUGAACAUAAAGAAAUAAUCCAGAGUUUUCCUUAAGUCCCUAUAACUUUAGAAAUGCUGUAGGUUGUAUUUGGUCUUUCCUCACUGCAGGUUUAGCAGAAAUACAGCUGUAAUAUUCCCUAUUCAAAACAUACUUUAGCAUCUCAUACAUUGUUUGAAAGGUUGGAUAGAGCUUCUGCAUUUACCAUCAACAUAAGAAUGAUUUGGAAAACCCCUUCUUGGACAAGGGAUAGAAGCUAUUCUAAAGUUAAGCAAAUGCUCGUCUAAAAUAAAAGGAUCCCGUCUGUGUGAGCUGUUCUAAGGUCAAGAAAUUGGCAGACAUUUCCUAAAAUUUUGUCCUUGCUUGCAACCCUCAAUCCUCAUUUCAGCUGUGUCCUUCCUUGUAAGUCUGGUAGGCUGAAUCUGUGCCAAUUAGG